ACAUGUUGCAGAUGAGUGAUGUUCAACGUUCGCGGUGGUCUGCCAUCCUCAGAACUAAUUUGAAAGUGAAUGUUCAAAUUAUCUAUUAUCUAAAGGGCGUGGACUGUUCAUUCGCGUCGUACUGUUCAUUCGAGCCCGAAGUAAAUGACGAUUUUGGCCUUAAUUUUGUCAUAAAUUACAUCCUGCGAUUCAGUCUGUUAUAAGCACCUGCCGACAGUAGAAUGCUAGAACUCCAGAAGGUUCAGGUUUUUCCGCUCUCUCGCUUCUCCUUAUCAACUUGACAGUGGUGCAGAUAUUUAGCAACUGGAGGGUUUGAUAAGAUACGCGGCAAGGAUUGAUUUCUGUGGCAAAGGGAUUGAUUUUGCGUCUCAAAUCAAUAUUCCGUCUCUAACCUGCAUUUGAGGUACUUCAUCGGGUCUCCUUUUCUCAGGUUGUCUAGCCUUAUACGCCGCGUCUCAGAUUGUCGUCUGUAGCUUCUGAUUCUAAUCACUGUUAAGAAUUGUCGUGUAUCAAUUUGCCAAGCACAGUUUCAGAUUGGAUUGAAGCUUGCAGAAACUUAGACUUCCAUCACUCAUUGUCGAGCUUCAUCCAGGUUGUAUGCAACAGAGUUUUUGUAUCGUUUUACUGCCACUGUUCCUUUGUCUUUUGCUUAGCAUUAUCUUUGUCUCUCAUUGUUAUUCAGACACUGGGAACAGUGUGCUAUCAGCUUCUGUUACUGUGGAUUCAGUUGAGCUCCGAAUCUGAGAUCAAUAAGAAUUAAGAGAUUGUUACAGGAUUUUCAUGGUGAAAAUCAUGAUACUCAAAGACAAGUGCAAGAAACAUCUAAUAACCAGAAUUUGGCUGGUGGUAUAUCUGAAGCUGGAACUACGAUGACUGAAGCUAGAACUGCAAUUUCCGGUGGAGAUGAAGAGCAUCAAAUUCAUCCAAGAUCAAGGCGUUCAUCUGAGUUGAGAAUGAGAUGAAAAAAAAAUCAACGUUUAGACAAUCAGUGCAGUAUUGGGAAUGAUGAUGCCAGUCAAUUUCAAACAUUGUCGUAAACGAGCUAGAAGCAGUAGAGAUUGAUCUAUUUUCUUUCUUUAGCAAUUGAGAUAGAUAUUUGCAAUUACUUUAGUCUUUCUGUGAAAUUCUGCAAAGUGAUUGAUCUAUUUUCAUUCUCUUUCAGGCCCUUGAGGAAUCCUUCAGCUGAUGCAAUUCCCAUUAAACUCGAGGAACUUAAGAAUGUAUUCGAACAAUCUCCUGACCGCAUUCCUAUGAUGCUGGCCAAUCCUUAUUUUGUGACUAUUCAAACUAAAAACACAAAAUAAGCGAGUAUAGCUUUUAUUUUUCAUUAAACAUUGACAUUCAUUAACUAUUCCCGCAGCAAAGCGCGGGUAGAUUUUAUUACUAGUAUAGCCUAUUUAUAGUAUUUGAUUCGACGUA